UACGGGGGGAGCAAACGUUGUUCGGAAUCACUGGGCGUAAAGGGCGUGUAGGCGGCUGAAUAAGUGGGAUGUUAAAUCCCCCGGCUCAACCGGGGAACUGCAUCUCAUACUGUUCAGCUUGGGUACAGCAGAGGAGACUGGAAUUCCCGGUGUAGCGGUGAAAUGCGCAGAUAUCGGGAGGAACACCGGUGGCGAAGGCGGUUCUCUGGGCCUUACCUGACGCUGAGGAGCGAAAGCGUGGGGAGCGAACAGG
rnacentral:rRNA from 1 species